AAAAUAUUUUAUUUACAUUAGAUAAGAUGUUUUGCAGGUCAUCUUUCGUUUCUGCACAAAAAGUAAUGUCAUUGGCAAAUCUGAGUGCAUUAAUAACCUAACCUAUUCUAAUUUCUUGUUUAAUAUCUAUUUUUAUAAUUCCUUGACCAUCGCUACAUAAUUAUAAUAUAUAUAAUGGUUUAUUUUGUUGUACAACUUUACACUCAGAUUACCCACUUCAUCAUUAGUCAUCCAAAAAAGUUUUCAUUUUUAUUAUCUACCUGAAUUGGACCGUUGGAAACGUUAUCUCAUCGUUGUCCAUUGGUCAAAUAAAUUAUAGCGACAGAGAACUUAGAAAUAUUCUAUGAAUUUACACUUUUAUAUCUCAUACCAGUGGCAUUUUUAAAGGGGCAAUUAAGGAAAUUUAUCUCCCUCGCUCAACCUU